CAGUUUUAUAGUUUAUAAAAAUUUUAUUUUUGGGGAAUAAGGAUCUAUUUGGUGUAGUAAACUGG
rnacentral:tRNA from 1 species